AACGUAGGUAACCUGCCCCGGAGCGGGGGAGUAACAUUUGGAAACAGAUGCUAAUACCGCAUAACAACAAAAGCCACAUGGCUUUUGUUUGAAAGAUGGCUUUGGCUAUCACUCUGGGAUGGACCUGCGGUGCAUUAGCUAGUUGGUAAGGUAACGGCUUACCAAGGCGAUGAUGCAUAGCCGAGUUGAGAGACUGAUCGGCCACAAUGGAACUGAGACACGGUCCAUACUCCUACGGGAGGCAGCAG
rnacentral:rRNA from 1 species